UCCAGCGUGGUCUAGUGGUUAGGACUUCUGGCUUCUAUCGAGACAGUCCGAGUCCGACUCUCAGAGUGAGAG
rnacentral:tRNA from 1 species